CCUACGGGAGGCAGCAGUGAGGAAUAUUGGUCAAUGGACGAGAGUCUGAACCAGCCAAGUAGCGUGAAGGAUGACUGCCCUAUGGGUUGUAACCUUCUUUUAUAUGGGAAUAAAAUGUUCCACGUGUGGGAUUUUGUAUGUCCCCUAUGAAUAAGGAUCGGCUAACUCCGUGCCAGCAGCCGCGGUAAUACGGAGGAUCCGAGCGUUAUCCGGAUUUAUUGGGUUUAAAGGGAGCGUAGGUGGAUUGGUAAGUCAGUUGUGAAAGUUUGCGGCUCAACCGUAAAAUUGCAAUUGAUACUGGCAGUCUGGAGUACAGUUGAGGUAGGCGGAAUUCGUGGUGUAGCGGUGAAAUGCUUAGAUAUCACGAAGAACCCCGAUUGCGAAGGCAGCUUACUAAACUGUGACUGACAUUGAUGCUCGAAAGUGUGGGUAUCAAACAGGAUUAGAUACCCUAGUAGUC
rnacentral:rRNA from 1 species